rnacentral:rRNA from 1 species
AUACGAAGGGGGCUAGCGUUUUUCGGAAUUACUGGGCGUAAAGCGCGCGUAGGCGGAUUGGUCAGUUAGGGGUGAAAUCCCAGGGCUUAACCCUGGAACUGCCUCUAAUACUGCCAGUCUUGAGUUCGGGAGAGGUGAGUGGAAUUCCUAGUGUAGAGGUGAAAUUCGUAGAUAUUAGGAAGAACACCAGUGGCGAAGGCGGCUCACUGGCCCGAUACUGACGCUGAGGCGCGAAAGCGUGGGGAGCAAACAGGAUUAGAAACCCUUGUAGUCC